rnacentral:rRNA from 1 species
GAUGAACGCUGGCGGCGUGCCUAAUACAUGCAAGUCGAGCGAACGGACGAGAAGCUUGCUUCUCUGAUAUUAGCGGCGGACGGGUGAGUAACACGUGGAUAACCUACCUAUAAGACUGGGAUAACUUCGGGAAACCGUAGCUAAUACCGGAUAAUAUUUUGAACCGCAUGGUUCAAAAGUGAAAGACGGUCUUGCUGUCACUUAUAGAUGGAUCCGCGCUGCAUUAGCUAGUUGGUAAGGUAACGGCUUACCAAGGCAACGAUGCAUAGCCGACCUGAGAGGGGGAUCGGCCACACGGGACCUGAGACACGGUCCAGACUCCUACGGGAGGCAGCAGUAGGAAUCUUCCGCAAUGGGCGAAAGCCUGACGGAGCAACGCCGCGUGAGUGAUGAAGGUCUUCGGAUCGUAAAACUCUGUUAUUAGGGAAGAACAUAUGUGUAAGUAACUGUGCACAUCUUGACGGUACCUAAUCAGAAAGCCACGGCUAACUACGUG